GUAAUGCUUAGGAAUCUGCCUAUUAGUGGGGGACAACAUCUCGAAAGGGAUGCUAAUACCGCAUACGUCCUACGGGAGAAAGCAGGGGACCUUCGGGCCUUGCGCUAAUAGAUGAGCCUAAGUCGGAUUAGCUAGUUGGUGGGGUAAAGGCCUACCAAGGCGACGAUCUGUAGCGGGUCUGAGAGGAUGAUCCGCCACACUGGGACUGAGACACGGCCCAGACUCCUACGGGAGGCAGCAGUGGGGAAUAUUGGACAAUGGGGGGAACCCUGAUCCAGCCAUGCCGCGUGUGUGAAGAAGGCCUUUUGGUUGUAAAGCACUUUAAGCGAGGAGGAGGCAACCGAGAUUAAUACUCUUGGAUAGUGGACGUUACUCGCAGAAUAGGCACCGGCUAACUCUGUGCCAGCAGCCGCGGUAAUACAGAGGGUGCAAGCGUUAAUCGGAUUUACUGGGCGUAAAGCGCGCGUAGGUGGCCAAUUAAGUCAAAUGUGAAAUCCCCGAGCUUAACUUGGGAAUUGCAUUCGAUACUGGUUGGCUAGAGUAUGGGAGAGGAUGGUAGAAUUCCAGGUGUAGCGGUGAAAUGCGUAGAGAUCUGGAGGAAUACCGAUGGCGAAGGCAGCCAUCUGGCCUAAUACUGACACUGAGGUG
rnacentral:rRNA from 1 species